rnacentral:rRNA from 1 species
UACGUAGGGUGCGAGCGUUGUCCGGAAUUACUGGGCGUAAAGAGCUCGUAGGUGGUUUGUCGCGUUGUUCGUGAAAACUCACAGCUUAACUGUGGGCGUGCGGGCGAUACGGGCAGACUUGAGUACUGCAGGGGAGACUGGAAUUCCUGGUGUAGCGGUGGAAUGCGCAGAUAUCAGGAGGAACACCGGUGGCGAAGGCGGGUCUCUGGGCAGUAACUGACGCUGAGGAGCGAAAGCGUGGGAGCGAACAGG